ACUCUGAUGUCAUUUCCUCCCCGCAUAUCUCAAGAGUUAGCUCACUGAAUGUUCACUCUUUGACUCUUCCUGAAUGAGGAUGAACCCCGGCCUCAUCACCUGGACUUUCUUUCUGCUCUGGGCUGCAGAUGUUUCUCAGUCUGUGCUGAUCACUCAGUGGCCCCAAAUCAUCUCAAAACGUCCCAACGGCUCAGCUGAGAUGCACUGUUACCAGAAUGAGACAGAUUAUCAAUAUCUGUACUGGUAUCGACAGCUAAGAGGACAAGGUUUCCAGUUAAUGGUGAUGGUAUCAGCUGGCUCUGCAACCUUUGAAGAGGAUUUCAAAUCUGGUUACCAGGCGGUGAGACAGAAGAAGGAGGAGAAGCAGUGGUCUCUGUCGAUAGAGAGCGUUCAGAGGAAAGACGAGGCGGUUUAUCUGUGUGCUGCUAGUCUACACGGUGCUUCUCUGUGCUCCUACAGCGAGGCUUACUUUGGAGCUGGAACUAAACUCUCUGUUUUAGAAGAAGGACUUAAGGUCACUCCACCGACAGUCAGAGUUCUCCCAGCUUCUCCAAAGGAGUGUGGACACCAGAGUAAGACCAUCGUUUGUGUGGCCAGUGGAUUCUACCCGGAUCAUGUCAGCUUCUCCUGGACCGACAAAGAGGGCGAGGUCAGCUCAGGUGUGGCGACGGACAGCGAGGCCGUGCUGGAAGGAAAGAACUACAGGAUGAGCAGCAGGCUGAGGGUCUCUGCUGAAGAGUGGAACAAUCCUGACAAUGAAUUCACCUGCACCGUCCACUUCUUUGACGGGAAACAAAAGCUCCCUUACUCUGCUUCAAUUAAAGGAAUAAAAGCUGAAAGAAAAACCAUCACCAGAGACAAAUAUCUGAAGGUCACGCAGAGCGCCAAACUGAUGUACAGCGUGUUCAUCGUGAAGAGCUGUUUCUACGGAGCGUUUGUAGCUUUUCUGCUGCUCAAGUUUCAGGCUGCAGACGGGAAACAGAAGAACUGAGAGCUGAUCUGAAGUCUGAACCGUCGACUCGGAGAGAUGAACUUUGAUUCUGUACAGAACGUUUUCUAUAAAGCUGAUAAAAGCUUCUAUGAGCUCACUGUGUUACUUUCACUUCUUCUUUGUUUGAGUUCAUGACUGAAUCUGUUUCUUCUGAAUAAACGUUUGUCAGACGA